AAAUAAUAUAAUUAUAUAUUUUCCAAUACACUAAAAUAAAAUAUUAUAAUAUUUGAUUUCUCAAACUAUAUUUUGUUAAAAGAUAUUCCCGCACUUUUUAGUGUGGAUCAAAAUCUAGUACAUAUUAAAAUUGGAAAAAUUUGAACAAAGCCAAGACAUAAAAGAUAACAAAAACUAACACAUAAAGAGUUUCUAUUUGGAUACUCACUGACGUGCAAACAAAUUACAAGGAAAAAAAAGCAAAUUAAAAGUUGAAACAGAAUCUACUUUUUUAUGAAACUGAUAAUCUGCUUUUUCCCGUAACUGAAACAGGUUUUUACUUAACCCUUAGUUACAAAUCACUAUAUUUUUUUCAUUAUUUACAAAACAUUUUACGUUAUUUUCAAAUUUUCGUAAACCUUAAACCACCAACUAAGCCUGGCUCAUUUACAAAAGAGAAAAUUUGCAAUGCGGAUAACUUUUAAGUUUGUAAUUUGUUACUUGAGUAAUUCUAAGUUUUUAUUUGAUAAAUGGAUAAAUCUAUUAAUGUCCUUUAAAACAUUGGUCCAAAUAAUUAUUUAUAAUUAAGUAAAUGAUAACUUAUAUCUAUCUAUCUAUUAUUAUAAAAGGGUGUUUGCUUCACUCUCAUGAACCCAAUAGGAUGCCAGCUAGAUAAGUUGGACUUUCUCGCUUCGACACGUGUCGCAUAAGUAUGAAACCCGGCGUUUCAUUGAAGAAAAGAAACGAAGGUUGCCUCUUCCACUUCGUGCGAUGGCGACUCGGCGCCGUUUGCGUUUCUUCCCACGAUCUGAAACGUCUGAGUUAAGGCUUCGUGUUUAAUCCCAGUGAUUCACUCCCCCACAUGUCGUCUUCAAUACUUUGUUUCGAUCUGAAAGGCGGUGUUUGUUCUGUAUAAAUAUGUAUGCCUCAGUGGUUCUGUGUUGGUACUCUAUGCCCGUGGUGGAGGUUUUCUGGUCUGUUCUGGUAUCUCUCUAUGAAGUUGGAAGCUUGAGCCUCUUCUCGCCUCUCUCGGUGGUGAUUUUGUGCCACCGAAGGUUUAUUGCGGUGAGUAACCCUUGACGGUGGCUUAUUCGUUUGUUUCUUUAGGGUUUUUGGUCGCUGGUUUACUCGCCGGACUUUGCCUCCUCAGAUCGUUCCUACUUUCUUUUUUUAUUGAUUAUUUCAUUAUUCUCUUAAGUUCUUUUGUUUAUCAAUUUUAGCUAAACCUCUCUAUGUUUUUUUGGUGUUUUAUUUAUUCUUACAUGCAAGGACUGCAAAUCUUCAACGGGUCAGAAGAUUGUGAACUGAACCUGAUCAA